UACGAAGGGGGCUAGCGUUGUUCGGAAUUACUGGGCGUAAAGCGCGCGUAGGCGGUUUUGCAAGCCAGAGGUGAAAUGCCUGAGCUCAACUUAGGAAUUGCCUUUGGGACUGCGAGGCUUUGAGGACUGGAGAGGUGAGUGGAAUUCCCAGUGUAGAGGUGAAAUUCGUAGAUAUUGGGAGGAACACCAGUGGCGAAGGCGGCUCACUGGACCGGAACUGACGCUGAGGCGCGAAAGCGUGGGGAGCAAACAGG
rnacentral:rRNA from 1 species